rnacentral:rRNA from 1 species
CGCGGAUAUAGUUGGGUUAAACGGUCGCGUAAGGCGGCGUUAUAAGUCAGUCGGUGAAAUACGGCAGCUUAACCUGUAACAGUGCCCGUAGAUACUGUAGACAUAGGAUUAGGUAGCUGUGGGCGGAAUGUGUGGAUGUAGCGGUGAAAUGCUUAGAGAUCACACAGAAUAUCGGCUCAGAAGGCAGCUCACAAAGCCUAAACUCGACGCUGAGGCAAGAGAGUGUGGGGAUCGAACAGGAUUAGAUACCCCGGUAGUCCACGCUGUAUACUAUGAGAAUUAGGUGUAGUGGGGAUACUCAUCUGUGCCGCAGAUAACACAAUAAGCAUUCCACCGGGGGAGUACGGCCGCAAGGUUGAAAUUCAAAGGAAUUGACGGGAGCCCGCACAAGCAGUGGAGUAUGUGGUUUAAUUGGACGCAACGCGAAGAACCUUACCGGAACUUGACAUCCUGAGAAGUAGGAUGUAAUGGCUGAUGUGCCGUUCGGGGAGAUUAGAGACAGGUGGUUCAUGGUUGUCGUCAGCUCGUGUUGUGAGAUGUUGGGUUAAGUCCCGCAACGAGCGCAACCCUUACGCUUAGUUGAUACUAAAGAGCACUCUAGCCGGACUGCCGUUGACAAAACGGAGGAAGGGGGGGAAGACGUCAAGUCAUCAUGCCCCUUACGUUCCGGGCUACACACGUACUACAAUGGCGCAAACAAAGGGAAGAGAGAUCGCGAGAUGGAGCAAACCCCGUAAAAGGCGUCCCAGUUCGGACUGCAGGCUGCAACCCGCCUGCACGAAGUUGGAAUUGAUAGUAAUCGCGGAUCAGC